rnacentral:rRNA from 1 species
CAAUAGCGUAUAUUUAAGUUGUUGCAGUUAAAAAGCUCGUAGUUGGAUUUCGGAUGGGAUUUGCCGGUCCGUCGUUACGAUGGGCACUGGCCAGUCCUAUCUUGUUGUCGGGGACUAGCUCCUUGGAUUCACUUCCUGGGACUAGGAGCUGACGAGGUUACUUUGAGUAAAUUAGAGUGUUCAAAGCAAGCCUACGCUCUGAAUACAUUAGCAUGGAAUAACACGAUAGGACUCUGGCUUAUCUUGUUGGUCUGUGAGACCAGAGUAAUGAUUAAGAGGGACAGUCGGGGACAUUCGUAUUUCAUUGUCAGAGGUGAAAUUCUUGGAUUUAUGAAAGACGAACUUCUGCGAAAGCAUUUGUCAAGGAUGUUUUCAUUAA